GACGAACGCUGGCGGCGUGCCUAACACAUGCAAGUCGAACGGUGAAGCUCCAGCUUGCUGCAGUGGAUCAGUGGCGAACGGGUGAGUAUCACGUAAGCAACCUGUCCCUGACUCUGGAAUAAGCUAUGGCAACGGAAUCUAAUCUUGCAUACGAGAAGGGUCCGCAUGGGCAUCUUCUGGUAAGUUUUCCGGUUGGUGAUGGGCAUGCGGGCUAUCACCUUGUUGGUGAGGUGAUGGCACACCACGGCGACGAACGGUAGCCGGCCUGCGAGGGCGACCGGCCACACUGGUACUGGGACACGGCCCGGACUAGUACGUGAGGCAACGGAGGAGAAUCUUACACAGUAGACUAGGGCCAAGUGCGACGAAGCAGUGUGGGGGAAGACAGGCUUCAGGUAGGAAACCACAGUCAGUUGGGAAGGAGCGAUAAUGACGGUACCGGAAGAAGAAGCACCGGCUAACUACGUG
rnacentral:rRNA from 1 species